rnacentral:rRNA from 1 species
GACGAACGCUGGCGGCGUGCCUAAUACAUGCAAGUAGAACGCUGAAGGAGGAGCUUGCUUCUCUGGAUGAGUUGCGAACGGGUGAGUAACGCGUAGGUAACCUGCCUGGUAGCGGGGGAUAACUAUUGGAAACGAUAGCUAAUACCGCAUAAGAGUAGAUGUUGUAUGACAUUUGCUUAAAAGGUGCAAUUGCAUCACUACCAGAUGGACCUGCGUUGUAUUAGCUAGUUGGUGGGGUAACGGCUUACCAAGGCGACGAUACAUAGCCGACCUGAGAGGGGGGUCGGCCACACUGGGACUGAGACAAGGCCCAGACUCCUACGGGAGGCAGCAGUAGGGAAUCUUCGGCAAUGGACGGAAGUCUGACCGAGCAACGCCGCGUGAGUGAAGAAGGUUUUCGGAUCGUAAAGCUCUGUUGUAAGAGAAGAACGAGUGUGAGAGUGGAAAGUUCACACUGUGACGGUAUCUUACCAGAAAGGGACGGCUAACUACGUG